AUUGAACGCUGGCGGCAGGCUUAACACAUGCAAGUCGAGCGGAGUGAUGGUGCUUGCACUAUCACUUAGCGGCGGACGGGUGAGUAAUGCUUAGGAAUCUGCCUAUUAGUGGGGGGACAACAUCUCGAAAGGGAUGCUAAUACCGCAUACGUCCUACGGGAGAAAGCAGGGGAUCACUUGUGACCUUGCGCUAAUAGAUGAGCCUAAGUCGGAUUAGCUAGUUGGUGGGGUAAAGGCCUACCAAGGCGACGAUCUGUAGCGGGUCUGAGAGGAUGAUCCGCCACACUGGGACUGAGACACGGCCCAGACUCCUACGGGAGGCAGCAGUGGGGAAUUUUGGACAAUGGGCGAAAGCCUGAUCCAGCAAUGCCGCGUGUGUGAAGAAGGGCUUAUGGUUGUAAAGCACUUUAAGCGAGGAGGAGGCUCUUUUGGUUAAUACCCAAGAUGAGUGGACGUUACUCGCAGAAUAAGCACCGGCUAACUCUGUGCCAGCAGCCGCAGUAA
rnacentral:rRNA from 1 species